ACAGGGAUUGCCCUAGUAACGGCGAGUGAAGCGGCAACAGCUCAAAUUUGAAAUCUGGCUUAGGCCCGAGUUGUAAUUUGCAGAGGAUGUUUCUGGCGCGGUGCCAUCCGAGUUCCCUGGAACGGGACGCCAUAGAGGGUGAGAGCCCCGUAUGGAUGGCCACCAAGCCUGUGUGAAACUCCUUCAACGAGUCGAGUAGUUUGGGAAUGCUGCUCAAAAUGGGAGGUAAAUCUCUUCUAAAGCUAAAUACUGGCCAGAGACCGAUAGCGCACAAGUAGAGUGAUCGAAAGAUGAAAAGCACCUUGAAAAGGGGGUUAAACAGUACGUGAAAUUGUUGAAAGGGAAGCGCUCAUGACCAGACUUGUGCCGGGCAGCUCAUCCGGGGUUCUCCCCGGUGCACUCUGCCCGGUUCAGGCCAGCAUCGGUUUUUGCUGGGGGAUAAGAACGGUAGGAACGUGGCCCUCUCUCGGGAGGGUGUUAUAGCCUACCGUACGAUACCCUAGCGGAGACCGAGGUUCGCGCUCCGCAAGGAUGCUGGCGUAAUGGUCAUCAGCGACCCGUCUUGAAACACGGACCAAGGAGUCGUCCAUUAGAGCGAGCGUUUGGGUGUCAAACCCGCACGCGUAAUGAAAGUGAAAUUAGGUGAGAGCUUCGGCGCAUCAUCGACCGAUCCUGAUGUUCUCGGAUGGAUUUGAGUAAGAGUUUUAACGGACGGACCCGAAAGACAGUGAACUAUGCUUGUAUAGGGUGAAGCCAGAGGAAACUCUGGUGGAGGCUCGCAGCGGUUCUGACGUGCAAAUCGAUCGUCAAAUAUGAGCAUGGGGGCGAAAGACUAAUCGAACUGUCUAGUAGCUGGUUACCGCCGAAGUUUCCCUCAGGAUAGCAGUGUUGACCUUCAGUUUUAUGAGGUAAAGCGAAUGAUUAGGGACUCGGGGGCGCUUUUUAGCCUUCAUCCAUUCUCAAACUUUAAAUAUGUAAGAAGCCCUUGUUACUUUAUUGAACGUGGGCAUUCGAAUGUACCAACACUAGUGGGCCAUUUUUGGUAAGCAGAACUGGCGAUGCGGGAUGAACCGAACGCGGGGUUAAGGCGCCAGAGUGUACGCUCAUCAGACACCACAAAAGGCGUUAGUACAUCUUGACAGCAGGACGGUGGCCAUGGAAGUCGGAAUCCGCUAAGGACUGUGUAACAACUCACCUGCCGAAUGUACUAGCCCUGAAAAUGGAUGGCGCUCAAGCGUACCGCCCAUACCCCGCCCUCAGGGUAGAAACGAUGCCCUGAGGAGUAGGCGGCCGUGGAGGUUGUGACGAAGCCUAGG
rnacentral:rRNA from 1 species